rnacentral:ncRNA from 2 species
UCAACGACCGUGAUCCGCGGACAUUUCGAGCGUAGAAUGCGAGCGAUACGCCGAGAGGAAGCCGGUGGAAUUCCGGCGCGGUCGCGCCACUGUAAUCGGUUUGCAUCCGAAUCGAAAGCCAGACCUUCCGCGUUUUUUCCUGAAUC